rnacentral:rRNA from 1 species
AAGACUGGGAUAACUUCGGGAAACCGGAGCUAAUACCGGAUAAUCCUUUCCCUCACAUGAGGGAAAGCUGAAAGACGGUUUCGGCUGUCACUUACAGAUGGGCCCGCGGCGCAUUAGCUAGUUGGUGAGGUAACGGCUCACCAAGGCAACGAUGCGUAGCCGACCUGAGAGGGUGAUCGGCCACACUGGGACUGAGACACGGCCCAGACUCCUACGGGAGGCAGCAGUAGGGAAUCUUCCGCAAUGGACGAAAGUCUGACGGAGCAACGCCGCGUGAACGAUGAAGGCUUUCGGGUCGUAAAGUUCUGUUGUCAGGGAAGAACAAGUACCGGAGUAACUGCCGGUACCUUGACGGUACCUGACCAGAAAGCCACGGCUAACUACGUGCCAGCAGCCGCGGUAAUACGUAGGUGGCAAGCGUUGUCCGGAAUUAUUGGGCGUAAAGCGCGCGCAGGCGGUUCCUUAAGUCUGAUGUGAAAGCCCCCGGCUCAACCGGGGAGGGUCAUUGGAAACUGGGGAACUUGAGUGCAGAAGAGGAGAGCGGAAUUCCACGUGUAGCGGUGAAAUGCGUAGAGAUGUGGAGGAACACCAGUGGCGAAGGCGGCUCUCUGGUCUGUAACUGACGCUGAGGCGCGAAAGCGUGGGGAGCGAACAGGAUUAGAUACCCUGGUAGUCCACGCCGUAAACGAUGAGUGCUAAG